rnacentral:rRNA from 1 species
UACGUAGGUGGCAAGCGUUAUCCGGAUUUAUUGGGCGUAAAGGGAACGCAGGCGGUCUUUUAAGUCUGAUGUGAAAGCCUUCGGCUUAACCGGAGUAGUGCAUUGGAAACUGGGAGACUUGAGUGCAGAAGAGGAGAGUGGAACUCCAUGUGUAGCGGUGAAAUGCGUAGAUAUAUGGAAGAACACCAGUGGCGAAAGCGGCUCUCUGGUCUUUAACUGACGCUGAGGUUCGAAAGCGUGGGUAGCAAACAGG